rnacentral:rRNA from 1 species
GAUGAACGCUGGCGGUCUGCUUAACACAUGCAAGUCGAACGGAAUCCUUCGGGAUUUAGUGGCGGACGGGUGAGUAACGCGUGAGAAUCUGCCUUCAGGUUCGGGACAACAGCUGGAAACGGCUGCUAAUACCGGAUGUGCCGAGAGGUGAAAGCUUUAGUGCCUGAAGAUGAGCUCGCGUCUGAUUAGCUAGUAGGAGUGGUAAUGGCACCCCUAGGCGACGAUCAGUAGCUGGUCUGAGAGGAUGAUCAGCCACACUGGGACUGAGACACGGCACAGACUCCUACGGGAGGCAGCAGUGGGGAAUUUUCCGCAAGGGGCGCAAGCCUGACGGAGCCAGACCGCGUGAGGGAAGAAGGUCUGUGGAUUGUAAACCUCUUUUGAUGGGGAAGAAGACAGUGACGGUACCCAUCGAAUCAGCCUCGGCUAACUCCGUGCCAGCCGCCGCCGUAA